GAUGAACGCUGGCGGCGUGCUUAACACAUGCAAGUCGAACGAUGAAGCCCGGCUUGCUGGGUGGAUUAGUGGCGAACGGGUGAGUAACGCGUGAGUAACCUGCCCUUAACUCUGGGAUAAGCCUGGGAAACUGGGUCUAAUACCGGAUAGGAGCGCCUACCGCAUGGUGGGUGUUGGAAAGAUUUAUCGGUUUUGGAUGGGCUCGCGGCCUAUCAGCUUGUUGGUGAGGUAAUGGCUCACCAAGGCGACGACGGGUAGCCGGCCUGAGAGGGUGACCGGCCACACUGGGACUGAGACACGGCCCAGACUCCUACGGGAGGCAGCAGUGGGGAAUAUUGCACAAUGGGCGAAAGCCUGAUGCAGCGACGCCGCGUGGGGGAUGACGGCCUUCGGGUUGUAAACCUCUUUCAGUAGGGAAGAAGCGAAAGUGGCGGUACCUGCAGAAGAAGCACCGGCUAACUACGUGCCAGCAGCCGCGGUAAUACGUAGGGUGCGAGCGUUAUCCGGAAUUAUUGGGCGUAAAGAGCUCGUAGGCGGUUUGUCGCGUCUGUCGUGAAAGUCCGGGGCUUAACCCCGGAUCUGCGGUGGGUACGGGCAGACUAGAGUGCAGUAGGGGAGACUGGAAUUCCUGGUGUAGCGGUGGAAUGCGCAGAUAUCAGGAGGAACACCGAUGGCGAAGGCAGGUCUCUGGGCUGUAACUGACGCUGAGGAGCGAAAGCAUGGGGAGCGAACAGGAUUAGAUACCCUGGUAGUCCAUGCCGUAAACGUUGGGCACUAGGUGUGGGGACCAUUCCACGGUUUCCGCGCCGCAGCUAACGCAUUAAGUGCCCCGCCUGGGGAGUACGGCCGCAAGGCUAAAACUCAAAGGAAUUGACGGGGGCCCGCACAAGCGGCGGAGCAUGCGGAUUAAUUCGAUGCAACGCGAAGAACCUUACCAAGGCUUGACAUGUUCCCGAUCGCCGUAGAGAUACGGUUUCCCCUUUGGGGCGGGUUCACAGGUGGUGCAUGGUUGUCGUCAGCUCGUGUCGUGAGAUGUUGGGUUAAGUCCCGCAACGAGCGCAACCCUCGUUCCAUGUUGCCAGCACGUAAUGGUGGGACUCAUGGGAGACUGCCGGGGUCAACUCGGAGGAAGGUGAGGACGACGUCAAAUCAUCAUGCCCCUUAUGUCUUGGGCUUCACGCAUGCUACAAUGGCCGGUACAAUGGGUUGCGAUACUGUGAGGUGGAGCUAAUCCCAAAAAGCCGGUCUCAGUUCGGAUUGGGGUCUGCAACUCGACCCCAUGAAGUCGGAGUCGCUAGUAAUCGCAGAUCAGCAACGCUGCGGUGAAUACGUUCCCGGGCCU
rnacentral:rRNA from 1 species